UACAGAGGGUGCAAGCGUUAAUCGGAAUUACUGGGCGUAAAGCGAGCGUAGGCGGUUAUUUAAGUCGGAUGUGAAAGCCCCGGGCUCAACCUGGGAAUUGCACUCGAUACUGGAUAGCUAGAGUUCGGCAGAGGGAAGCGGAAUUUCCGGUGUAGCGGUGAAAUGCGUAGAUAUCGGAAGGAACAUCAGUGGCGAAAGCGGCUUCCUGGACCAGAACUGACGAUCAGGCUCGAAAGCGUGGGGAGCAAACAGG
rnacentral:rRNA from 1 species